UACGUAGGGUGCAAGCGUUGUCCGGAAUCAUUGGGCGUAAAGAGCGUGUAGGCGGCCCGGUAAGUCCGCUGUGAAAGUCCAGGGCUCAACCCUGGGAUGCCGGUGGAUACUGUCGGGCUCGAGUCCGGAAGAGGCGAGUGGAAUUCCUGGUGUAGCGGUGAAAUGCGCAGAUAUCAGGAGGAACACCAAUGGCGAAGGCAGCUCGCUGGGACGUGACUGACGCUGAGACGCGAAAGCGUGGGGAGCAAACAGG
rnacentral:rRNA from 1 species